rnacentral:rRNA from 1 species
AUUGAACGCUGGCGGCAGGCCUAACACAUGCAAGUCGAGCGGAUGAGUGGAGCUUGCUCCAUGAUUCAGCGGCGGACGGGUGAGUAAUGCCUAGGAAUCUGCCCUGGUAGUGGGGGACAACGUUUCGAAAGGAACGCUAAUACCGCAUACGUCCUACGGGAGAAAGCAGGGGACCUUCGGGCCUUGCGCUAUCAGAUGAGCCUAGGUCGGAUUAGCUAGUAGGUGAGGUAAUGGCUCACCUAGGCGACGAUCCGUAACUGGUCUGAGAGGAUGAUCAGUCACACUGGAACUGAGACACGGUCCAGACUCCUACGGGAGGCAGCAGUGGGGAAUAUUGGACAAUGGCGAAAGCCUGAUCCAGCCAUGCCGCGUGUGUGAAGAAGGUCUUCGA